UACAGAGGGUGCAAGCGUUAAUCGGAGUUACUGGGCGUAAAGGGCGCGUAGGCGGUUGAAUGUGUGAGAUGUGAAAUCCCUGGGCUUAACCUAGGAACUGCAUCUUAAAACUGUUUAACUUGAGUACUGUAGAGGGUAGUGGAAUUUCCGGUGUAGCGGUGAAAUGCGUAGAUAUCCUGAGGAACACCGGUGGCGAAAGCGGCGCGCUGGAUCCCUUCUGACGCUGAGGCACGAAAGCCAGGGGAGCAAAACGGG
rnacentral:rRNA from 1 species